CAACAGUUAUAUUAAUUCAUAAUUAAGUCAUUAAUAAGCGAUAAAUCCCAAAAUAGAAUAUAACAGAACAUUUGCAGAAAUAAACACAGCCCGACAUCAGGGUGUCACCAGUCAUGAGCAUCUAAAACAUCUGUCUAAGAGUAUGAAGAGUCUACAUAGUCUACUACAAUUCCAGUACAAAUGAAAAUAUAGACAGGGAGAAGAAACACGGGGUUGUGAACGCCGAGCAACUACCUAGUGGACUCUGAACAGGCUGCUAGAAGUAAUCAACCCUCGCUGGUAGGACCUGAGGCUCCUGAAUCUGCACACAGGGUGCAGGGAGUAAUGUGAGUAUGCCAACUCAUUGAGUAAUAAAAGUAAAAGUAGCUGAGAGAUAAGAAAACACAUAAACCACAACAAAAUGCUACAAGGAGACAGUGUAAAACCAAUAUAAUGCAAUAAAAUAGUGCAAUCUUAUAAAAACACCUUAGUUCAGAAUAAACUUCUUUAAAACAUCUUUUAACAGUUAAACUAGUGAAUGAAAAGCAGUGAGAAAAGAUAAACACAUAAAACCAGCCCCUCGAGCAAAGUAGCAAUAGAUUCAGCCCCUCGGGCUAUCUCACAAUCACUCGUAUCAGCCCCUCAGGCAAUAACAUAGAACAACAUCAGCCCCUCUAGCUAUAUCACAUCUCAAACUGGGUAUUCGCGCUCAUUGGGGAUGUAUAGACUCCGGGAGGGACCCUUUAUGGCCCAAGCGUAAUAACAAGCUAUCUCGUAGCAUAAUCAAACAGGCUCUCGGCCUCAUAUCAAUCCACCUUGUGGCGUACAACUCAGGCCUUCGGCCUCAUAAUCAUGAAUCAGCAUAAUAUUGCUGCAGCGCGCAGCCCGAUCCCAUAUUAACCUCACAACACAGGCCCUCGUCCAUACUCAGUCAGAAAUCUCUAAAAGCCACUCGGGCACAGUAAAAUAUAAUGCUCAGCUCAAAUUAUCCUUUAAGAUGUCAAAACAGAGUAAACAUGGCUGAGUUAUGAAAAACAAUAGAAUAUAGCAUGACUGAGUUCAAGUAUAAAGUCAAAACAGUGAGGAAUAGUGUAAAAAUCCCCAAAUGGUUCAAAACAGUUGGCAUGAGGCCCAAAUAUGGCAUUCAGCCCAAGACAUGAUGAUAGCAAACAGUUUUCAACCGAAUACGCAGUAAAACAGUUAUUCAGGAUGGACUAAGUCACAAUCCCCAACAGUGCACGACCCCUCGCUCGUCAUCUAGCGUGUGUGUCACCUCAAAAUAGCACAACGAUGUGAAAUCUAGGAUUUCAUACUCUAAGGACAACAUUUACAAUCAUUACUCACUCUAUCUGGUCCAAACUCAAGCCUGUGAUGCCUUUACCUCUCGAAUCGGCCUCCGAAUACUCUAAAUCUAACCAAAAUCAGUACACGACCAUCAAAAUAUGCUAAGGGAACAAAGCCCACUCGAAAGUAAUCAAAAUACAAUGCAAAUCCCGAAAUUAACCAAACUCGACCCCCGGGCCCAUGUCUCAGAAUUCGAUAAAAUUUAUAUCAAUCAACUCCUUAUCUCCCCACGAGUUCAUACAUAUCAAAACUACCAAAAUUCGACUACAAAUGGCCCCUCAAACUCUUACUCAAAGCUCUCCAAUCUCAUGCCCUAAUUCCCAAUUUUAACCCUUAAUUCCCAUUAAUUUCAAGUCAAAUCAGUGAAAUAACACCAUAGAAACGAGUUUAGGAUCCAAAAACAUUACCUCUAUGAAAUCCCUCUUCAAAUAGCCCCCUCAAGCUCAAACCCAUAUGAAAAUGGUGAAGAAUAGCUCAAAAAUCAUGAUGAAAACCUUUUAUACUUUCUGGACCUGCGGUCCAGAUUCCGCUUUUGUGCUACCGUUUCUGCGGUCCAAAACACCACAUCUGCGGUUUUCACUUAAAGUUCAAGUCCCGCAUCUGCGAUCCUUUCCUCGCACCUGCGCUACCGCAGGUGCACUUCUUUAGCCGCUUCUGUGGUUUCAACUGACACCUUCUUGGACGCUUCUGCAGCUUGCUUCCAUAUCUGCAGGUUCGCACCUGCGGCCUCCCAACCGCAGAUGCAGUUAUGACAGCAGUCCUAAAUCUUCAGCUGCAAAAAUCCAACUCAAAUCUUCCGUCAACCAUCCGAAAUCACCCCGAGGCCCCCGGAACCUCAACCAAAAUCACAAACAAGUCAUAUACCACUAUCCAAACUUAUACCAAUCUUCAAAACACCCCAAACAACAUCGAAUCAACCAAAUCACAUCGAAUUCAAGCCUAAGGUUCCAAAAUCUUCCGAAUUCCGCUUUUGAUCAAAAAGUCUACCAAACCACGUCCGAAUGACCUGAAAUUUUGCACACACAUCCCAAAUGACACAAUGGACCUCUGCAACUCUCAGAAUUCCAUUUCGACUCCUAUAUCAAAAUUUCACCAUUCAACUGGAAAAUGCCCGAAAUACCAAUUUCGCCAAUUCAAACCUAAACCGACCUCCAAAACAUGUUCCGAUCACACUCCUAAGUCACAAAUCAUCUCCAGAAGCUAUCCGAACCAUCGAAAUUUACAUCCGAACCCUUUAUCACAUAAGUCAACAUCCAGUUGACUUUUCCAACUUAAGCUUACUCAAAAGAGACUAAGUGCCUCAAACCUUACCAAUACCUCUCUGAACCCAAGCCAACCAAUUCGAUAAAACAUAAUAUAGCUGAACAAGGCAAUAGUGAGCAGAAAUGGAGAAAAUAGAGCGGUAACUCAUGAAACGACCGGUCGGGCCGUUACAACACAUUUAUUUGAUUCACCUAUGGGGUUAAUUCCCUCUUACAAGGUUAGAAAUGAGACUUACCUCAUCUUAAAUCCCACUUUCCUGUCACAAUUUUGCUAUAAAGCCCCAACUUGGUGCCGUUCAAUCCGAAACAAGUCAAACGAUGUGCAAAUUAAUUAAAAAAUAUACUCCAACACUUAAAAUUUAACAAUUUAUAAAAAUUCUGCUCCGCUCGAAAAGUUGGUAGUGGGGCCCACGUCUCGGAACCUGAUGAAAUUUACAAAAUCCAACAACCCAUUUCAAUACGAGUUCAACCAUACCAUUUUAUCAAAUUCCGAUAACAACUUGUCCUCCAAAUCUUAAAUUUUAGUUCUUGAAAAUUUCUGCAAAAAUCUUGAUUUCAUCCAUUUAAAUCCAAAAUAAAUGAUGAAUAUAACCAUAGAAUCAUGAAGUAUAAUACCUUUAGGAUAUAGAACACUUACCCCACUCCAUAUGAUGAAAAUCGCUUCAAUCCGAGCUCCAUAGCUCCAAAUAUGUUUAAAAUGGCUGAAACCUCGAAAUAUAGCUUCUGCCCAGAUAUUUACUCUUCACGAUCGUGAAGCACAACAUUUCUCAGCCUUCGCGAUCACGAAAAAUGCUUCACAAUCGCGAAGAACAAAUGCCCAGCCCUUCCAGACAACCUCUAGUAUAAUGGUCAAAACUUUUUGUACAAAAAUCCAAAUUGUAAAUGGUUUGAUUUUCUGAAAACUAGACACAAAUGGCUACAACUUUAAUUUUUGGAUCAUCUCCAAAUUCUUUAUAGAUUGCAAGAUACGAGCUUCCAAAGUCGGGUCAGUGCAGCAGAAACUUUACUCUACGCGAUCGCAAAGGCCUUCCGCGAUCGCGAAUCACUGGCUAAUUUCUCCCAUUUUCCUCAUCGCGAUGGCGACCAGUUCCCCGCAAUCGUAUAGCAUACUGCUGUAGCUAAAAACUAGCAGCUAAAAAUGGCCUAGAAAUGGUCCGAAACCACCCCAAAACUCACUUGAGCCCCUCGGGAACCCGUCCGAAUAUAACAACAAGUCUCAAACCAUAUCACGGACUUAGUUGAGACCUCAAAGCACAUCAAAUAACGCUGAAAACACGAAUCACACCCCAAUUCUAGUCUAAUGAAACUAAGAAAUUCCAUUUUCUAAAUUUGAUGCCGAAACCUAUCAAAUCACGUCCGAUUGACAUCAAAUUUUGCACACAAGUCACAUUCGACAUUACGAACCUACUCCAACUUCUAGAUCGAAGUUUGACCCCGAUAUCAAAAAGUCCACUCCCGGUCAAACUUCUCAAAAACCUUCAAAUUUAUAACUUUUGUCGAAUGACCCCGAAACAACCUACGGACCUCCAAAUCCACUUUCGGACGUGCUCCUAAUACCAGAAUCACCAUACGAAGCUAUUCCCACACUCGAAAUCCCAAGCAGGCAUCGGUAACAAUGAAAUAGACCUCAACCCAAAUUUAUAAAAUUCUUCCAAAAUGCCAACUUCCACAAUAGGCACUGAAACUCUCCCGAGUCAUCCAAAACCCGAUCCAGAUAUACGUCCAAGUCCAGAAACAUCAUACGAACCUGUUGGAACCUUCAAAUCCCGAUUUUGAGGUCGUUUACUCAAAAAUCACACUUUAGUCAAUUCUUCCAACUUGAAGCUUCCGAAAUGAGAAUUUUCUUUCUAAAUAACCUCCGAAUUUCCCGAAAUUCAAUUUCAACCAUGCAUGUAAGUCAUAAUACCUGAAGUGAAGCUACUCAGGGCCUAAAACUGCUGGAUGACGCACUAGUGCUCAAAACGUCCGGUCGGUUCAUUACAUUCUCUCACACUUAAACAUAAGUUCGUCCUUGAACGUGCUAAGGACUGCUAGAGAGUUGUCUGAAAUCACCGUUUAACACCUCGUGCACCUACCCAUGCCACCACAACUCAGUUGGUCACAUUUACUCGAGCUAAUCUGAAGAUAUUCCCUUUUACUCAGCCAAAUGGGCCUUAGAUCCCAAUUCCAACAUCGGAAUUCUCCGCCAGGCCUGUUUCCAUCAUAUGAACACCGCAUCAACCUUUAUGCGAUGCACCAAUACAUGAUUGCUUACCUUUGCUUAAUCCACACUAUGUACUGCAUAACUCAUAUGACCAUAAUAACAUCCUUUGAUAACAAUAGCCAAAAUUUCAUGAAUCUGAUGCUCACAAUGCACCUCAUGACAUAUAUAAGUCUUGUUCCAACUCUUGCAAUACCGCCACGAAGGAAGAGAUGUGUAGAAAUUCAUAACCAACUUUCGAGACAACAAAUCGCUGAGUUCGUCCUCCUGAUAGGAACAUUUACCUCAGUAUGAACCAAAUAACAAUAUUACUCUUUAAUAUACUGCAUAUAAUCCGAUCGCACUGAUCCCACAUCCAAUAAUUUCGUCUCAUCCAGUAUAAGUUAUUCAGGCAAUAAGCCACCCCAGACACGACCAAGAGUCUCAUAUGAUGCCACAAUGUUCCAACAAGCUACCAACUUGAAUGUGAUACAUAAGGAAAACAAACUUUGGAAAGGACUACUCAACCCAUGUAACGAAUUAGACAACCGAAAAAGUAUUACGAACCUUCCUCAGAAAAUGGAAACAAAACACACAAGGAUAGAUAUAGGGGAUUGUACUCAACAUCACACUAUUACGGUGUGCAAUCCCAUCCACACAUAAAAUCUAAAUAAGGAGAUACUUCCCGAGCUAGAAUGCUCAUUACUACAAAAUAACCAAAUAUCGGCCACAAGCACACCAAGUGCAUAAUAUCAUCCUUGGGGAGACGGAUAGCGCCAUACGAUAUAAAACUCAACCACAACUAAGGUGCGAUAUUUGAUCUAUAUCUCGAGAGCUAUCUUGCUCACAUAAUACCAUCUCUACGCGGAACCUCAACACAUAUGAAAUUUAUCAAGCCAUUUCACAACUCAUACUGCAUAAUAUAGUAUUACAUGAAAGAGUCGACGACAAAACAACAUCCAACGUCUGAAUACUCCUCCAUAAGGAGUGCUAUGCUGAAAUGAAUACAUCCGGCUUGAUAUAGAGCCCACGUUCUCAUUCAGAUCCAUCCACAUACCUCAAGUCGAUUCUGAUCGUACCGCACUAAGCCAGUAACCUAUAAAGGAUCCGCAGUAACCCUUCUUCCCAUGGCACAAGAACAGUCGUUAAUCCGGAACAAACUUCCACAGUCCACAACCAAAUGAACUGAGUGCCCUUUACGCAUAAAUUCUCACAUGAACAAUAGUACCAUAAUCUCUAUACUUGGUUCCAAUCUUCAAUCAAUCAAGUGACUACAUGUCACACUUAUAAAAUCUUCUCGUGGUCACGCUCCCACGACCUUCCGCACCAGGUAAUAAUUCUGCACAUCCAUACUGUCACGAUCCUAAACCAUCCCGGUCAUGAUGGCGCCUAUCGCAUUACUAGGCUAGCCGAUCCGACAUUUAUAACAUAAACAGGUCUUUUUCUUAAUUCAUUUACUAAUCAGAUAUUAUCACAAAUCCUUCGUUUAAACAUUUUAGAACAAGCGGAUAAUUAUGCAAAACAUCAAACACUGCCCGAUCCCGGAGUCACUAGUGAUGAACCACUAAAAUACAACAUGAUAUUGUCUACUCAAUACAAGAUGAGUCUGAUAAAUACAAAUACUAAAAGAUAGGAAGGAGAAAGGCAGGGUUUCGGACGUUGUGCAGCUACCUUGCUAACUACGGAAAUGCUCUGAAGGAAAAGGUCAUCUCUCACUCGGAUGCCCUAGCACCUGGAUCUGCACAUAAGGUGCAGGGAGUAACAUCAAUAAGCCAACUCAGUAAGUAACAAUUAUAAAUAAAGGCUGAGUGCAAUGACGAGCAUUUAAAAUCAUAUACAUCUCAUAACAUAAAAAUCUCAUUGGAAAUAACAAAGUCAAAUCAGUAAUUAAAUUCUGAACAUCUUGUAAAAAUUCCAGUUUCAAUGAAAGUUUCUAAAAUGUUUAUUCAACAUUUUCAUUAGAGGAUCAGUACAAAAGAAGAGUGAAAAUAGUAACUUCAUAAAACAAGUCCUUCGGGAAAAGUAUCACUCAUAUAUAUAUAGCCCCUCGAGCAAGCCUCUCAGUCACACGUGACUCAACUCUCAUCAAUCAGCACUCACGUUCAAUAGGUACCUUAUAAUAACCGUUGUGGUGUGCAGCUCGAUCCAAAAAUACAUAGCCAACUGCGCUCAUUGGGGGUGUGCAGACUCCGGAGAGGCUCCUACAGCCCAAGCAUUAUAUCGCUGCGGCGUGCAGCCCAAUCCAUACACACACACACACACACACACACACACACACACACACACAUAUAUAUAUAUAUAUAUAUAUAUAUAUAUAUAUAUAUAACGAUGUGGUGUGUAGCCCGAUCCUUAACUAUCCUCACAAUCCGGCUCUCGAUUUCACUCACUCAUCAACCUCACAAGCCACUUGGGCAUUUCAGUAUAAGCUCAGGGAACUCAGCCCAAAACAACUUUCAUAUAUUAAAAUAGAGUGAUGAACAAGAUUAAACAAUAAGUAGGUAUAAACCAUGACUGAGGAUAAUGCUUUCUAUCAAAAAUAAUGUGAGGAUAACAGAAAAAUACCCCUGAGGGUCCAAACAGUACGGCACAAGUCCCAAAACAUGGCAUUCAGCCCAAGCUAACAAAUUUAUUUCUAAAACACAUAGAUAUCAUAUAGAGUUUAUCAAAAUAUGCAACUCUACAGUUUCAACAGGAUGGACUAAGUCACAAUCUCUGCAGGUGCACGCCCACACGCCCGUCACCUAGUAUGUAUGUCACCGCAUUUAUCAAAAUUGUACGAAAUUCCAGGGUUUCAUACCUUCAUAUCUAGAUUUACAAUCAUUACUUACCUCAAACCAGACGAAAAUCUACUCCGUGAUGCCUUUGCCGCUCGACUCGGCCUCAAAUCGUCAAUACAUGCUAAAGGAACAAAGCCCACGCAAAAAUUAUCAAAUUAUAUCAAAAUUCCCAAAAUUGGCCAAACCUUACCCCUGGACCCACGUCUCGGAAUUCGAUAAAAGUCACAACACUAGAAUCCCUUAUCCCCUCAUAAGUCCAUACAUACCAAAUUUACCAAAAUCCAACUUCGUUUGAUGCCUUUAUCACCCAAUUUUAACUCUCAAGUUCCAAGCCCUAAUUCCCCAAUUUUCACCCUUAAAUCUAACAAAUUCCAAGCUUAAUCUACUGAAAAUCACCAUAGAAUUGAGUAUUAAGUUCAAAAAUCUUACCUCAACAAGUUUCCCCUUGAUUCCCUCUUCAAAACCCUCUAAAAGCUCCAAAAACCGAGUUGAAAUUGUGAAGAAUGACCAAAAUGCGCGAAGGGGAACUUAUAUACUUUCUGCCCCAGGGAUUCCGCACCUGCAGACAAUAACUCGCACUUGUGGACUCGCACCUGCAGUCCCAAGUGCGCACCUGCAAAAAUCACUUAAAGGACCGGGACCGCAUCUGCAAUAGUUACCGCACAUGCGGUGCCGCAGAUGCGUCCAAAUAAUCGCAUCUUAUCCUGAUGACCAAAACACGCACCUGCGAUCUCCUUAUCGUAUUUGCGACUUCUCACCUGCGGUCCCCAAUCCACAGGUGCGGAAAUGACAGAAGCAGCAAAAUCUGUAUCAACAACUCAAAGCCAAACUUCCUGUCAACCACUCAAAUCCAUCCCGAGGCCAUCGGGACCUCAACCAAACAUAUCAACAAGUCACAUAUCAUCAUUCAAACCUAUACCAACCUUCAAAACACUCAAAACAACAUCGAAACACCAAAUCACCCUCGGAUUCAAGCCCAAGGAUUUCCAAACUAUCGAACUCCGCAAACGAUGCCAAAACCUAUCAAACCUCAUCCAAAUUACCCGAAAUUUUGCAUACACAUGACAAAUGACACAACAGACGUACUCCAAUUUCCAAAAUUUCAUUCCGAUCUUGAUAUUAAGAUUUCCACUGCCGACCAGAAAACGCAAAAUUUUCAAUUUCGUCAAUUCAAGCCUAAAUCUACUACCGACCUCCAAAUUACAUUCUGAACACGCUCCUAAGUCCAAAAUCACCUAAUGAAGCUAUCCGAACCAUAAAAACUAACUUGCGAGAUCAUAUAUCCAGAAGUCAACUUCCGGUUGACUUUUUCAACUAAAGCUUCUAAAUAAGAGACUAUGUAUCUCAUUCCAUUCCACGAGCACUUUGAAUCCGAACCAACCAACAUGAUACGAUGAAAUACAAUUGAGCAAUACAUAAAGAAGUAAAAAUAGGGGGAAAUGGGACUAUAACUCAUGAAACGACCGGCCGGGUUGUUACACAUACCACCGACCAUACUAAUGUUGUAAAGCAAAUCAAGGAUCCGCAAAUAAGUACUCAAAGCCUCUUACAGAGGACAUCGAUCUCAGGUGACGCUAAAGACAAUACCAGCUUACUCUAACCAUCUGAAUCUCUUUUCCUUGUUCAUCCGAGCUGGUGAUAUUCUUGUCGACACCCAAAUCGCAACCUUGAUCCUCAACUUCCAACUCCCCUGCUACUCGAUACACUUAAUCAUGUCUAUGCACAAGAGUACAAGAAUUUCAUCAUAACUCAUGAUCCACUAAUAGGGUACACACUUUAUCAUAUAGAAACCUUUUACUUAACUCAUUUCAAGAGGACCAUUGCAACACGUGACUGAAUUCCCAUAACCGCAGAAAAUACAAUCCUCAAGUAGGGGUCUAAGCCACCAUAACUCUUCUGAGGUCCGUCUACACUUAUCAGACUAUUAUAAUUGAAUAUCUCUAAAUAAAUCUAAUUGCAGCGGCCGCCAAGCCUCGCACGUACCGCCACCAAUCAUCUACAUAACGUAACAUGCUGAAGGAACUGAUCAUUGCCACCACCAUGUCGAUUCAACCAUUGCUAAUGGAACCAAAUUCUUCUAAUUUGCUUUGGACUUUCCUUAGAAAUAACAAUGGCUCAAUUCAAAAUAUAACAAACUCAAUCUGCACUCAUCCUGAGUGAUCCCAUUUCACGAGACCACAUUGUCUCAAAACCCACAAUUCAUCUCAUACCCUCCUUGUGCGCACAUUCGCAUCUUCAACUGGUAAACCUAUUCUGAUAAUUCCUCUAUGAAGUCCGAAGUUAUUUUCUCCCAUUCCUCUAAUGCUACACCACAUACCGAAGAUAACAUUGAAUACUCCAAGCCCUUUUCAUAAUCCGUUGCAAAAGCUCGAUACUAAACCAUAUCAUGGACCCAAAAUCCUUAGGCACCGAACUUUAAUUUUGAACCUACUAGGGCCAUUGUUGAGAGUCACCCACUCUGACUUAUUCUCGAAUAUAGUCACACUCCAAUGCCUUGCUAGCACAUGAACACCCUCUCUAGGAAGCAACCGGCUGAAUUAUUUUCCUUAUACAUCACAUCCACAUGAAGCAUAGACUCUGAGUCUUCCCAAACAUGAACAUGAAACGAUAAGGCCAAAGAUAGCACAUAUUCCUCAAAUCCUUUGCUCAAAUUACCACUGAUGUUUUUUUCCUUAGUCAUAAUAACCCACCAAUACACCGAUAAUUAGAAACCACACAAGUAGACAACCACGCAGUCCAAUCAUAGACGGUGGGGCUCUCCCACUUAGCUUGAAGCUACAAUUACAUAACCCUGAGACCCACCGAAGUUCCUUCUUCCCCAUUGGCAUCAACUAAAUGUCCAAAAACGCAUUCCAAACUCGAAGUCAUGUUGCACCUAAAUAAAAAUUUGUGGACCUAGUGCAUUUCCACCAUGAAUUACCCAAAUAGCUCCAGACUUUCCUCAAGGCGUGUGACCAUCCUACCACAGAACUUAUAUAUUACUCUGCCACUCUCCCACUUUGGUUCAACCCUCUCCUUUAAGCAACUCCUCGACUUCUACUUUUCACACAUAACUUUCUAGAAAUUCAACCACCGCAAAACACCUCCUACAUGUCCUUCGUCGCCCAACUGUUGCCCCAAAUCCGAUUCUAUCUUUGUAACACCCGAAAAAAUGAGCCGCCACCAACUCUAAACCUCUUAGAAGAUUAUCUUUCUCGAGCCAUCAAUAGUAGAAGUACCAAUUCGAUUCCGAAAUUGCUACACUCUGUUAUCUCUGACACCCACAUCUCAAGAACCAUUUCACAAUACCCUACCCCGAAGGCAAAUUGAAGAAGUCCAUAACAUCGGCGAAGCUUAACGUGUUCAAUCAAGGGCGAGAUGAAAAUUCCACCACGCUUGAAAGUACCAAGUUUUGUUACCCCUCCAACCCAAACUUGAACAUUCAUAGAACGAUUGUCUUUCCUCCACCAGAAAUAAAAUACUAAAUAUCUGAAUCACGCACUGGGUAAAGCUCCUUCCAAGUCACCCACUACCCUAACACAUAGGCAAGCAUCUUACCAUUACAUCACUAUUGUGCGAUAACAAUUCAUGAGCAUCUAUCAACCUGUGUAUAGCCUCAAACUCUCAGAAGUACAACUACUGGGUCGAAACGACAGAAUAUCCUUCUGCAAGGCGACGACAAUAGCUCAAUCAACUACGCAGGAAGAAACAUCUCGCACCACAUCUGUAGUACCAUUACAAUUCCUCAAUUCCCAAUUGAUAACCAGCGAUUCAUGUUGCAUAAGAUUAAAUAGUAAGGAAAUAAAGGUACAAGCCUCAAAAAGAUCAGUUUGCACGAUGAGGAAUCAAGAAGGGAAGUGCUCCUAAUAGCCAUGUAGCCUCUUGAAGAUAAGUACAAACGUUUCCGUACCGAUUCGCAAGGCUCUACUAGACUUGCUCAAGACUCGUGAGACCUAAGUGAACCUAGUGCCCUGAUACCAUGUUGUCAUGACCCAAAAUCUGUUAAAGGUCGUGAUGGCGUCGUACACCACUAUCAGGGAAGCCAACACUAAAUAGUUAAUUAAACUCUCAUUUUUAUAUUUCUAAAAUCAUAAAUUUCCUUCAAGUUAACUAGUAAAAGAUGAACUUUAAGGAAUAAUAAUAACGUUUCUCGAUUUCAAUAUUAAAUAUCCCAUAAUCAUCCCAGAACUCGGUGUCACAAGUGCAUAAAUAUUUACUAGUAAAUAAAAUAAAAUAAAAUAACUAUCCGGAAUUCAAAUUUGAACAUAAAAGAAAAGACAAAUACUCUGAUGGAGACUCUGCUGGUUGCGGAUCAUACACAAGAUGCAGCUCACCUAAGUCCCUGUAUCAAUCAUGCCACUGCGCCCACAAGGCCACUAGACAUACAUGUGCCUAUACAAUAAAAUGUAUAGCAAGUGUAGUAUGAGUACCAAAACACCGUGUACCCAAUAAGUAUCUAGUCUAAUCUCGAAGAAGUAGUGACGAGAGGUCGACUCUGACACUUACUAUGGCCAACAAUAAUAUAUCGUUAAUAUGAUAAAUUAUGGGUUUUAUAAGACGACUAUAAAUUCAAUAACAUGAAGUAGGUAAACAAUUCUUUUGUUAGUAGGACAUUUCCAAAUUUAUUUUCAUAUUUUUAACUAUUCAUAUCUCCGGCCAAUGAUGGAACAUAAAUCAUCAAUAAUCUCAAAACAAUCAAUCAAGCCAUGCGCAAAUCAUGCCAAGGUCGUACGGCCCGAUCCAACAUAAUAUUUAAUUGUGCACUGCUGGAGGGUCAAGCAGCACGAACCAUAGAUGUAUCUAUUUACUACCGAGGCGUUCGGCCGGACCCACAAAUAGCAAUUUAUUUUUAAAGGAAAACACAAAUUUCACAUUUACAGUCAACUACUCAAUUAAAUCUUUCAAGUUAUUGAAUUUAACCUUUACACUUCUUUUAUCAAGUUCCGACGACUUAAGUAAUUGAAUUAGCAAGUAAGGGUGCAAAUAUUUCAAGUAAAGCAUGAUACGGAUCCUAAACUACCCGGACAAUAGCAUAAUAGUAGCUACGUAUGGACUCAUGUCACCCCGUACGUACAUAGCCCCCACAAAUAAGUACACACAUUUAUUUAAUUCAUCUAUGGGGUUAAUUCCCUCUUACAAGGUUAGAAAGGAGACUUAUCUCGUCUUAAAGCCCACUUUCCAGUCACAAUUUCGCUCUAAAAGCCCCAACUUGGUGCCGUUCAAUCCGAAACUAGUCAAACAACGUGCAAGUUAAUUAAAAAUAUACUUCAAUCCUUGAAAUUUAACAAUUUAUAAAAAAAAUUCAACUCCGCUCGAAAUGUUGGUAGUGGGGCCCACGUCUCUGAACCCGAUGAAACUCACAAAAUUCGACAACCUAUUUCGAUAUGAGUUCAACUAUACUAAUUUUAUCAAAUUCUGAUGACAACUUGACUUCCAAAUCUUAAAUUUUCGCUCUUGAAAAGUUUUGCAAAAAUCUUGAUUUCUUCCAUUUAAAUCCGAAAAAAAUGAAUAUAACCAUAGAAUGUAUAAUAACUUUAGGAUAUAGGACACUUACCCCAAUUCAUAUGAUGAAAAUCGCCUCAAAAAUCGCUUUAAUCCGACCUCCAUAGCUCCAAAUAUGUUAAAAAUGGCCGAAACCUCGAAAUAUAGCUUCUGCCCAGGUAUUUACUCUUUGUGAUAGCGGAAAAUACUUUGUGAUCGCAAUGCACAACAUUUUUAGCCCAAAAUUUUCCCUUCGUGAUCGCGGAAAAUACUUCGUGAUCACGAAGAACAAAUGCUCAGCUCUUCCAAACAGCCUCUAGUACAAUGGUCAUAACGUUUUGUAUAAAACUCCAAAUUGCAAUUGGUUUCACUUUUUUAAAAUUAGACAUAAAGAGCAACGACUUUUAUUUUUAGAUCAUCUACAAAUUCUUUAUAGAUUGCAAGAUACAAGCUUCCAAAGUCGGGUCAUAGCAGCAGAAACUUUCCUCUACGCGAUCGCGAAAGCCCUUCCGCGAUCGCGACACUGGCCAAUUUCUCCUAUUUUACCCAUCGCAAUCGCAAUUAGUUCCCCGCGAUCGUGUAGCACACCGCUUUAGCCAAAAAUAAGCAGCUAAAAAUAGCCUAGAAAUGGUCUGAUACCACCCCAAAACUCACCCGAGCCCCUCGGGACUCCGUCCGAACAAACCAACAAGUCUCAAAACAUAUAACGGACUUAGUCGAGGCCUCAAAUCAUAUCAAGCAAUGCUAAAAACACGAAUCACACCCCAAUUCGAGUCUAAAGAAACUAAGAAAUUCUAGUUUCUACAUUCGAUGCCUAAACCUAUCAAAUCACAUCCGAUUGACAUCAAAUUUUGCACACGUGACAUUCGACAUUACAGACCUACUCCAACUUCUAGAAUCAGAAUUUGACCCCGAUAUCAAAAAUUUCACUCCCGUUCAAACUGCUCAAAAACCUUCAAAUUUAUAACUUUCGCCAAAUGACCCCGAAAUGACCUUCAGAGUUAUACCCAGACUCGGAAUCCCAAGUGGACAUAUAUAACAUUGAAAUACACCUCAACCCAAAUUUAUGAAAUUCUUCCAAAAUGUCAACUUCCACAAUAGGUGCUGAAAUGCUCCUGAGUCAUCCAAAACCCAAUUCGGACAUAUGCCCAAGUCCAAAAUCAUCAUAUGAACCUGUUGGAACCUUCAAAUCUCGAUUCCGAGGUCGUUUACUCAAAAAUCAUACUUUAGUCAAUGCUUCCAACUUAAAGCUUCCGAAAUGAGAAUUUUCUUUCCAAAUCAAUUCCGAACCUCCCGAAAUUCAAUUCCGACCACGCAUACAAGUCAUAAUACCUUAAGUGAAGCUACUCAGGGUAUCUUGAAUAGAAUGUAAUGCACUCUUCUAUCCAAUAUCCCUCUGUAAUUGAACCUUCUGGAUGGCUUCUACUCCUCACAUAAUUUUUAAGAGUAAGCAAGUACCUAAAAUAAUAACUAAUAUUAUAGUUCAAUAUAAUACUUCAUAAGUACUAUAAAUAAGAAUAACAAAAUGAUACCUUUCAAAUACCUACAUUGAACGGUAUGGUGGAGGUCCACCAGUCCUUGCUUCUUUGGCUAAAUGAAUGACUAGAUGUUUCAUGAUAUCAAAAAAAGAUGGAGGAAAUAUUCUCUCCAAAUGACAAAGAGUUAUUGCAACUCGAUCUUGGAGCUUUUCUAAUUCACCUAUGUUUAUAACUGUUGAAAAAAUGCCCCUAAAAAGGUUACUUAAUUCGAUCAUUNNNNNNNNNNNNNNNNUNUUCUAAGACCUCACAAAGCAAUAGGAAGGAGUUGUUGUAUUAAAAUAUGGCAGUCAUGACUCUUCAAUCCAUGCACAAUGCGUUGCUUAAGAUCAACACAACGUGAUAUAUUUGAAGCAUAUCCAUCUGGUACCUUCACAUCUCUUAAAACUUGUAAGAGCAUAUCUUUUUGUGCAUUGCUCAAAGUGAAACAUGUCAUAGGUAGAUAGUAUUUGCCAUUAGCUCUUUUUUUAGGGUGCAACGCCUUUCGAAUCCCCUUCUCUUGUAAAUCCAUUCGAGAAUUCAGAUUGUUUUUUCCUUACCCGUCAACAUUUAGUAAUGUCCAGAACAUAUUGUCAAAUACAUUCUUUUCAAUAUGCAUUGUGUCAAGAUUAUGGCAAAUCAUAUUGUCUUUCCAGUAGUCUAACUAAAAAAAUAUGCUCUAUUUCUUCCAUAAAUAUUGCAAUAUGGCAUCAUCAACAUGAUCAAAAUUCUUCCAUUUUCUUUUCUGGGAUUUGGUCGAUGAAUGUUUUCCGAAUUUUUUUUAAUCCCUUUCAAUUGCUUAAGAACUUCAAUACCUGACAUACAUUUAGGUGCUACCUCUAACUCCUUACAACCAUCAAAUGAAACUUUAUCUUUUCAAAACUUAUGCCCAUGGGGUAACCAUCGCCUAUGCGGCAUGAAAUAAUAUUUUUGCCCAUAUUUCAAUCUCAGAAAUUUAGUCUUGGAAAGACAUCAUGGACAAGCAUAUCUAGUUUUCACACCAUAUCUUGAUAAUUGUUUUAACUCAUCAAUUAACGGUCGAAGAUAAACAUCAAUAUCAUUGCUCGGUGUAUGAGGGCCAUCAAUAAUCAUUGAUAAUAUCAUGUAUGGUUGCUUCAUGCACAACCAUGAUGGCAAGUUAUAUGGAACCAAGACAACUGGCCAUGUGCUAUGUGAGAUAAACAUAGACUUGAAUGGAUUAAAUCCAUCUGAAGCCAAUCCAAGUCUAAUAUUUCGAGGAUCUUGAGAAAAAUCUUGAUGCAAUUCAUCAAAUUUUCUCCAAGCAACACUAUCAGCAGUAUGCCGCAUUACCCCGUCUUUAGUGCGACCUUCCUCAUGCCAUCUCAUAUCAGUAGAUGUUUUAGAUGACAUAAAUAAUCUUUGAAGCCUCGGUAUCAACGGAAAGUAUCUAAAUACCUUUGCUGGAAUUUUUGAGGUUUCCAAACUACCAGAUUCACCUACAAAUUGUUUGUAUCUUGGAGCUUUGCAAAACUUACAAUCAGUUCGAUCUUUUGUCUCACUCCAAUAGAUCAUAUAAUCAUUUGGACACACAUGUAUUUAUUGUAUUCGAGUCCUAAAUCUUUAAUAAUUUCUUUUGCAUCAUUAAAGGACUGGGUAAUAUUUCACCUUCAGGAAAUAAACAAUUCUAACAGCAUGGAAAAUGAAUUAUUACUCCACUCAUUGAGACACUUUACAUGUAAUAGACGAACAAUAAAAGAAAGAAGUGAAUAUUUGCUUCCGGGAAAUAAUUCACGCUCAGCUUCUUUCAAUAAGUUAAAAAACUUCUCUGUGUUCUUAUCAAAUCCCACAUUAUGUUGAUUUUACCCACCAAAACUAUCACCAUGGCCGUUAAUAUUAAUAAAGUCACUAGUAGGAGAAACUCCAAAAGCAUCAUGCACCAAAUCUUGUAUCUCAUCACCUCUAUCUAAUCUAUCCAUAGACAUUGAUGAAGAUGAUGUCUCACCAUGAAAAAUCCAAUUAACGUAACUAGGUAGAAAUUCAUCAACCACAAUAUGUUCAACAAUCAAUUCUUUCGGGAUAUAUUUUAUAUUACGACACUUCUGACACUGACACAAGAUUUCAGAUGCAUUAGGCCUAUCUAAUGAGGCAAAAUGAAGAAACGUUUUGGCUCCAUUCUCAUAUAAAAGAUCAUUCCUAUUCAAUAUUUUUAUCCAAGUCUUAUCCAUUAAGAAUAACCUAUAUAUAUAUAUAUAUAUAUAUAUAUAUAGCAAAAAAAUCAACUAAAAGAGAGUAAUUAUAGAUAGAAACUAUAAAGUGUAUAUCGUAGAAUACGAAUAUUUAUAAUAAUUUAUACACUUUACUAAUGACUGUACAAAUGUGUUCAUUCAAGGCAUGGAAAAAAAACAUAUCUAGUUUCUUUAUUAUUUUUUUCAAAAGUGAAUCUUACAAACUAGUUCACUCUAUGGCCACAUUAUUUAAUAUUUUAUCAUGACUAAGCAAAAUCAAACUAUAGAAUACCAUAAUUGACAUCUUGAGUAAAUAUAACUUUUAAAAAAUAAUUAUCAAAUUGAUGUUUUAUUGAACUUGAUGUAGAUCUAUUUUAGAUUGAACUAGUAAAUGACAUCAUACUAAUCCAAUAUUUUAAAAUAGUACUAUUAUUUCUAUACAUAAAGUUUAAGUACUACAAAUAUACUUUGGAAGCAAACUUAAAUAUCCUAAACAACUAGGAAAGAAAAAACCUAGUAAGUAUUUUUAGAACGCAAAAAUCUCAUAUCAGAGAUAUGAAUAAAGCAAAACAAAUAAAAGAAAUGCCCCCCAAAAAAAUGAACUUUCUUCCAUCCAUCAAUUCGUCAAACUAUGUUUCAUCCCCAAAUAAGUUAGUGUUGCUAUAAAAAUCUAGGUCCAUUGUGUUCGUUAUUAUUUAUCUAUUCUUUUAUAUUUUAAUCAAUAUAUUGGUCAAACAACCUACGGAACUCUCUUUCUUUAUCAGGUUAAAAAGAUUAACAUUCUUAAAAAAACCGAACAAGUAGGAAAAAGAAAGAAAAUUGUUAACCCAAAUCCAAACAAUUAAGAAAAAGAAAUAAAUAUGUUAACCCAAAUCCAAACACCUAAGAAAAAAAAAAGUAAUCUGUUAACUAAACUGGUACCUUGACUUUGUAGCAAAUAAGCUUUGUGAAUCUCAGCAGCAAAAACCUCGUGAUAAAAAUUUUUUCUUCUCCAAGUAUCUAUUAUAGCACAGCCGAAUGUAAAAAAUUAGGGUUUUUGAAGAAUUCUAACUAAGGAAAGAAACUAUAUUUUUUAGAAUUGGGAGGAGGGAAGCAAAAUUCUUACCGCCAAAAUCUUUUCCUUCUAAAUCUCCAAUACUCACCAUACAUAGUUCCUUGUAGAAAAUCUGGCCAAACUCAAUUUGAGAUUUUGAGCCAAACCCGAUUUGAGAUUUUGAUUGAGAUAGGUACAGACUUCUAAGGCUUGGAGUACGGCUUUUUACUUAUGUUUUAAAUUGUGG
rnacentral:lncRNA from 1 species